UGGCGACCGGCGCACGGGUGAGUAACGCGUAUCCAACCUGCCCUUUACUAUGGGACAGCCCGUCGAAAGGCGGAUUAAUACCGUAUGUUGUCAUGUUGAUGCAUAUUUUCAAUGACCAAAGGCUUCGGCCGGUAAAGGAUGGGGAUGCGUCUGAUUAGCUUGCCGGCGGGGUAACGGCCCACCGGGGCGACGAUCAGUAGGGGUUCUGAGAGGAAGGUCCCCCACAUUGGAACUGAGACACGGUCCAAACUCCUACGGAAGGCAGCAG
rnacentral:rRNA from 1 species